AGUGCAAUAGCUGGGUCAUAUGGUAAGCCUAUUUUUAGUUUUAAAAGGAACUGCCAAACUAUUUUCCAGAGUGGCUGGGUCAUUUUUACAUUCCCACCAGCAAU
rnacentral:pre_miRNA from 1 species